AGAACGAACGCUGGCGGCAUGCCUAACACAUGCAAGUCGAACGCUCUUGGGAUUUCGGUCUCAAGGGAGUGGCGCACGGGUGAGUAGCGCGUGGGAACCUGCCCUGUUGUGGGGGAUAACCGAGGGAAACUUCGGCUAAUACCGCAUGCGCCCCCGGGAGUGAUCCUGGGGGGAAAGAUUUAUCGCAGCAGGAGGGGCCCGCGUCGGAUUAGGUAGUUGGUGGGGUAACGGCCCACCAAGCCUGUGAUCCGUAGCUGGUCUGAGAGGAUGAUCAGCCACACUGGGACUGAGACACGGCCCAGACUCCUACGGGAGGCAGCAGUGGGGAAUAUUGGACAAUGGGCGCAAGCCUGAUCCAGCAAUGCCGCGUGAGUGAUGAAGGCCUUAGGGUUGUAAAGCUCUUUCGCCCGCGACGAUGAUGACGGUAGCGGGAGAAGAAGCCCGGCUAACUUCGUGCCAGCAGCCGCGGUAA
rnacentral:rRNA from 1 species